UUCCAGCAAGUCCAGACCUUUAAAUACUUGGGGAUCACUUUCCACUUUCGACAUAGCUGGAUCCACCACCGCAAAUCUGCCAUUUCCUCAGCCUUACCACAUUUAAAUGCAAUUGCCCGCUUUCACUUUAACAGUGGCAACCAGUACAUCCCUGCUGCUCUCCACAUAUUCCAAAUCAAAAUCCUUUCCCAGCUGCUAUAUGGAGCCCCAAUCUGGAUUGAGGCUGCAAAUCAAGACCUUGACAAAGUAGCUGCCUCCUUCCUCAGAAGGAUUCUUGGGGUCCCUAACCUAAUUAGAUUAUCCACACUGAUACUUGAAUUAGGCAUCCGUCUCCCCUCUACCACCGCUUGGUCCCUAACCUUCAAGUUUUGGCUUAGACUGCACCUCAAUAUUCACCCAGACUCCAUACUCAAUGACCUAUUAAAAGAUUCCUUCUCAUCCAAGUGGUUUAAACUUCUUGAUGCCAAGCUUGAAUCUUUGGACCUCUCCCCUGAAUCCCUCUCAGACACCAACCUUUAUAGAGUGCACCAAAUCAUCAAAUCCAAACUCUGGCAACAGGAAUUCAACCUAUUACUUUCCAAUUUAAAUCCUAUUUGUUCCCCUCACUUCUUCGGUCUCUCUCCCUCUCUUGGUAGACCCUCCAAUUAUUUCAGUAAAUUAAUUAAUCCCAGUAAAAGGAGAGCAUUUAUGUUAGCAAGGUUAAACAUCUUUCCAUCAGCUGCUCAUUUUGGCAGAUUUGCUAACAUACCACGCAAUAACAGACUCUGUCCCUCUUGCUCAUCUGAGCCAGACUCUCUAGAUCAUAUAUUACUCCGUUGCCCGGCUCACCAAUACCUACGAAACAAUAUCCUUGAACCCCUUCUGUCUUCUCUUUUUGUUUCAUUUGCUGACCCUCUUCCUAUCCUCCUAAGCGACUACUCGGCGACCAUCUCCAGCUUGGUAGCGGAUUUCCUACUAGCGGUCUCUAAGCCUAAACCCCUUCCCCAAUCCCCUCCUGUAUAA
rnacentral:lncRNA from 1 species